UACUGAGGAGGCAAGCGUUAUCCGGAAUUAUUGGGCGUAAAGCGUCCGCAGGUGGCACCUCAAGUCUGCUGUCAAAGACCGGGGCUUAACCCCAGAAAGGCAGUGGAAACUGAAGUGCUAGAGUGCAGUAGGGGUAGAGGGAAUUCCCGGUGUAGCGGUGAAAUGCGUAGAGAUCGGGAAGAACAUCGGUGGCGAAAGCGCUCUGCUGGACUGCAACUGACACUCAGGGACGAAAGCUAGGGGAGCGAAUGGG
rnacentral:rRNA from 1 species